AUACGGGGGGUGCAAGCGUUAAUCGGAAUUACUGGGCGUAAAGCGCGCGUAGGCGGUUUGCUCAGUCGGAUGUGAAAGCCCAGGGCUCAACCUUGGAACUGCAUACGAUACUGGCAAACUAGAGUGUGAGAGAGGAUAGUGGAAUUUCCGGUGUAGCGGUGAAAUGCGUAGAUAUCGGAAGGAACAUCAGUGGCGAAGGCGACUGUCUGGCUCAACACUGACGCUGAGGUGCGAAAGCGUGGGUAGCAAACAGGAUUAGAAACCCUGGUAGUCC
rnacentral:rRNA from 1 species